rnacentral:rRNA from 1 species
UACGGGAGGCAGCAGUGAGGAAUAUUGGUCAAUGGACGAGAGUCUGAACCAGCCAAGUAGCGUGCAGGAAGACGGCCCUAUGGGUUGUAAACUGCUUUUAUAAGGGAAUAAAGUGAGAGUCGUGACUCUUUUUGCAUGUACCUUAUGAAUAAGGACCGGCUAAUUCCGUGCCAGCAGCCGCGGUAAUACGGAAGGUCCGGGCGUUAUCCGGAUUUAUUGGGUUUAAAGGGAGCGUAGGCCGGAGAUUAAGCGUGUUGUGAAAUGUAGAUGCUCAACAUCUGAACUGCAGCGCGAACUGGUUUCCUUGAGUACGCACAAAGUGGGCGGAAUUCGUGGUGUAGCGGUGAAAUGCUUAGAUAUCACGAAGAACUCCGAUUGCGAAGGCAGCUCACUGGAGCGCAACUGACGCUGAAGCUCGAAAGUGCGGGUAUCGAACAGGAUUAGAUACCCUGGUAGUCCGCACGGUAAACGAUGGAUGCCCGCUGUUGGUCUGAAUAGGUCAGCGGCCAAGCGAAAGCAUUAAGCAUCCCACCUGGGGAGUACGCCGGCAACGGUGAAACUCAAAGGAAUUGACGGGGGCCCGCACAAGCGGA